GUACACAAAAAUGCACAUACUGUGAGCUCGAUGAGUAGGGCGGGACACGUGGUAUCCUGUCUGAAUAUGGGGGGACCAUCCUCCAAGGCUAAAUACUCCUGACUGACCGAUAGUGAACCAGUACCGUGAGGGAAAGGCGAAAAGAACCCCGGCGAGGGGAGUGAAAAAGAACCUGAAACCGUGUACGUACAAGCAGUGGGAGCCUCUUAAUGGGGUGACUGCGUACCUUUUGUAUAAUGGGUCAGCGACUUAUAUUCUGUAGCAAGGUUAACCGAAUAGGGGAGCCGAAGGGAAACCGAGUCUUAACUGGGCGUUAAGUUGCAGGGUAUAGACCCGAAACCCGGUGAUCUAGCCAUGGGCAGGUUGAAGGUUGGGUAACACUAACUGGAGGACCGAACCGACUAAUGUUGAAAAAUUAGCGGAUGACUUGUGGCUGGGGGUGAAAGGCCAAUCAAACCGGGAGAUAGCUGGUUCUCCCCGAAAGCUAUUUAGGUAGCGCCUCGUGAAUUCAUCUCCGGGGGUAGAGCACUGUUUCGGCAAGGGGGUCAUCCCGACUUACCAACCCGAUGCAAACUGCGAAUACCGGAGAAUGUUAUCACGGGAGACACACGGCGGGUGCUAACGUCCGUCGUGAAGAGGGAAACAACCCAGACCGCCAGCUAAGGUCCCAAAGUCAUGGUUAAGUGGGAAACGAUGUGGGAAGGCCCAGACAGCCAGGAUGUUGGCUUAGAAGCAGCCAUCAUUUAAAGAAAGCGUAAUAGCUCACUGGUCGAGUCGGCCUGCGCGGAAGAUGUAACGGGGCUAAACCAUGCACCGAAGCUGCGGCAGCGACACUAUGUGUUGUUGGGUAGGGGAGCGUUCUGUAAGCCUGUGAAGGUGUACUGUGAGGUAUGCUGGAGGUAUCAGAAGUGCGAAUGCUGACAUAAGUAACGAUAAAGCGGGUGAAAAGCCCGCUCGCCGGAAGACCAAGGGUUCCUGUCCAACGUUAAUCGGGGCAGGGUGAGUCGACCCCUAAGGCGAGGCCGAAAGGCGUAGUCGAUGGGAAACAGGUUAAUAUUCCUGUACUUGGUGUUACUGCGAAGGGGGGACGGAGAAGGCUAUGUUGGCCGGGCGACGGUUGUCCCGGUUUAAGCGUGUAGGCUGGUUUUCCAGGCAAAUCCGGAAAACCAAGGCUGAGGCGUGAUGACGAGGCACUACGGUGCUGAAGCGACAAAUGCCCUGCUUCCAGGAAAAG
rnacentral:rRNA from 1 species